CCUACGGGAGGCAGCAGUGGGGAAUAUUGCACAAUGGGCGCAAGCCUGAUGCAGCAAUGCCGCGUGAGGGACGACGGCCUUCGGGUUGUAAACCUCUUUUAGUAGGGAAGAAGCGAAAGUGACGGUACCUGCAGAAAAAGCACCGGCUAACUACGUGCCAGCAGCCGCGGUAAU
rnacentral:rRNA from 1 species